AGGGAGUAGAAGCCGAGCUGCAGUAGAGAACCAGUUUGUGCAAUUGAAUCAUUGCACAUGAAAGUGGUUAUUUAUACUGUUAACUUGCUAUUAUAUGUUAUAUUGCUUGGGUUUAUUGUUUUUGUCCACUUACUACAAACUAGAGCCACCUGGAAAAGGGAACUUUCAGGGAGCAAUUGCCUACAUCAGAUUGGCUUUAUAGGCAAGUUUGUGUGCCAGCCCACUGUGGGGUGAUGCCACCCUGAACCUGGGUAGUAUGACAAUGAACUGGGCAUCCUGGGUUGUAUAAGAAAGCAAGCUGAGGGAUGGAGAGAUGGCUCAGCAAUUAAGAGCACUGAUUGCUCUUCCAAAGGUUCUGAGUUCAAAUCCUAGCAACCACAUGGUGGCUCACAACCAUUUGUAAUGAGAUCUGACUCCCUCUUCUGGUGUGUCUAAAGACAGCUACAGUGUACUUAGAUAUAAUAAUUACAUCUUAAAAAAAAAAAAAAGCUAGUUGAGCAGCUUUCUACAUGGUUUCUGCCUCAGUUCCUGCGUCGAGCUUCUACCCUGGCUUCCCUCCGCCGUGUACUAUUUUCUGCAAGAGUAAGAUGAGAUCAUCUUUUUCCCCCACAUUGUUUUGGUCACAGUGUUUAUCACAACAACAGAAACCAAACUGAACGGUGUGUGUUCAUGGUGGGGAAGGCAGUGCCUGUGCAAUGGGGCCUCUGUGAAAGUCGUAGGACAACUGUGUGGGGUUUAUUCUAUCCACUCACCUCUAUGUGGGUAGGUUCUGGGGUCACGAGCCUGGUGGCAAGCACCUUAAUCACUGAGCCAUCUUGAUCACUCUUGGUAUAGUCGGUGUUUCUUUAAUUUUGUAUGAUUUGUUUUCAUGAUUGUACUUUUAAAGAACUUUUUUUUUUUUUUUUUUUUUAAUUUUUAGGUUUUGGAUCCCAGAACAAGGAUGAUUUUAUUCAAGUUGUUGCAUAAAGACCACAUAUCAGAGAUACAUGGCUGUAUUAGCACUGGAAAAGAAGUGAGCUGCUUUGGUUGGGAUGAGAGUAUUUUCUUUCAUAUUAGUUUCCUUGUUUCAAAUACCCAGGAAGGCUAAGGCUCUUUAGAGUUUAUGCCUUUAAAAAGAAAAGAAAGCCAAGCAUUGUAGCACACACUUUUAAUCCCAUUACUUGGGAGGCAGAAUCAGGUUGAUCUCUGUGAGUUCCAGACCAGCAUGGUCUAUAUUGCAAAUUCUAGUCCAACUAGGGCUACUUAUAGCCCUGUCAAAAAAGAAAGAAAGCUGGCUGUGGUGACCCUUCAAUUCCAUCACUCGGAGGCAGGGGCAGUCAGAUCUCUGUGAGUUUGAGACCAGCCUGGUCUACAAAGCAAGUUCUAGAGAAGCCAGGACUACACAGAGAAAAAGCUGUAUACACCCGAUAGUUUAUUAACAGUGUAUCUAGAAAUUAUCUUGCUUGGUAGUCAGUUGAUAAGAAACUGUAUGCGUAACUUACUAUGAUUGCUUUAUUGUAUUGUUGAGUCUGUGUGUAGAGCAGUGAGCUUAGAUUUUCAGAUUACUGUGGUCCUGAGUUCCAAUUUAAAAUUACCAUUAAUGAAUGAGGUUUAUUGGCUCAUUUCUCUUAGCCAGUCUUUUUUCUUUAUUUUAAGUCUAGAAAAAUAAGUGUGACUUUUUUUUUCUCUAGAUGGGGUUUCUCUGUGUAGCCUUGGCUGUCCUGGAACCCUGGAACUCACUCUGUAGACCAGGCUGGCCUUGAACUCAGAGAUCCUAAGCCUCCUAUGUGCUGUGUUUAAAGACUAAGUGUG
rnacentral:lncRNA from 1 species